rnacentral:lncRNA from 1 species
GAAAUGCAUAUUGCGUUUUAUUGAAUAGUGAUGAAUUCGACUUGUGCCAAUGAUGGUUCUCUUAAUGGAGUGAGUAACCUAGGCCAACGAGGGAAGAAAAUAGAUGUUGAUAAUUUUUGAAGUGGAGAUUAUUUGGUCAUCAUAUAGGUAGGGCCUGACAAGCCUAGUGAUUUCGGGGAAGUACAACUGAAUGAGCCUGAUCGUGGCGGUCUGCUGUUGAGCCUUAGGGCAAGAUUGUUAGACCUUG